AGCACAAAUGGGAUUUGAACACAAAACCUUCAGACUGCAACAUUUCUUCUUUACCAACUGAGCUAUCAGGCUGAUGAAGGUGAAGUUUCUGCAGCUUCAGUCUGAUCUUCUUCCUCUCUCUGAUUCUCUGUGUUGAUCAGAGCUGAAGAUUGUCCGACGGUUAAAAAUGUCGAUUCUCAACGCAAAGAGACGUGGGUUCAAGGCCCACCUGAGGCUUUUCUUCCUUGUUUUCAGACCACGUGUUAUUCCUCCUUCUCUGCCCACACCACAUGACAGAAUAAAA